GGGGCGUUAGCUCAGUUGGCUAGAGCACCUGCUUUGCAAGCAGGGGGUCCAGGGUUCGAGUCCCUGACGCUCCACCA
rnacentral:tRNA from 1 species